rnacentral:rRNA from 1 species
UGCAGUCGAGGGGCAGCACGGGAGUAGCAAUACAACUGGGUGGCGACCGGCGCACGGGUGAGUAACACGUAUGCAACCUACCUGUAAGAGGGGAAUAACCCGGAGAAAUUCGGACUAAUACCGCAUAAAACUUUAAAACUGCAUGGUUUAAAAGUUAAACAUUUAUGGCUUACAGAUGGGCAUGCGUAUGAUUAGCUAGUUGGUGAGGUAACGGCUCACCAAGGCAACGAUCAUUAGGGGUUCUGAGAGGAAGGUCCCCCACACUGGUACUGAGACACGGACCAGACUCCUACGGGAGGCAGCAGUGAGGAAUAUUGGUCAAUGGGCGAGAGCCUGAACCAGCCAAGUCGCGUGAAGGAGGAAGGUUCUAUGGAUUGUAAACUUCUUUUGUAAGGGAAUAAAAAAUGUUACGUGUAGCAUAUUGUAUGUACUUUACGAAUAAGGAUCGGCUAACUCCGUGCCAGCAGCCGCGGUAAUACGGAGGAUCCAAGCGUUAUCCGGAUUUAUUGGGUUUAAAAGGGUGCGUAGGGCGGAUCUUUAAGUCAGUGGUGAAAGUUUGCGGCUCAACCGUAAAAUUGCCGUUGAAACUGAAGAUCUUGAGUGUAAAUGAGGUAGGCGGAAUGUGUUGUGUAGCGGUGAAAUGCUUAGAUAUAACACAGAACACCAAUUGCGAAGGCAGCUUACUGGGAUACAACUGACGCUGAGGCACGAAAGCGUGGGGAUCAAACAGGAUUAGAUACCCUGGUAGUCCACGCAGUAAACGAUGAAUACUAACUGUAUGCGAUAUACUGUAUGCGGUACAGCGAAAGCGUUAAGUAUUCCACCUGGGGAGUACGUUCGCAAGAAUGAAACUCAAAGGAAUUGACGGGGGCCCGCACAAGCGGGAGGAACAUGUGGUUUAAUUCGAUGAUACGCGAGGAACCUUACCCGGGCUUGAAAUGCAGACGACCGAUUGGGAAACCAGUCUUCCAGCAAUGGCGUCUGUGUAGGUGCUGCAUGGUUGUCGUCAGCUCGUGCCGUGAGGUGUCGGCUUAAGUGCCAUAACGAGCGCAACCCUUAUCAUUAGUUACUAACAGGUUAAGCUGAGGACUCUAAUGAGACUGCCACCGUAAGGUGUGAGGAAGGUGGGGAUGACGUCAAAUCAGCACGGCCCUUACGUCCGGGGCGACACACGUGUUACAAUGGGGGGUACAGAGGGUUGCUACCUAGUGAUAGGAUGCUAAUCUCAUAAAGCCUCUCUCAGUUCGGAUCGGAGUCUGCAACUCGACUCCGUGAAGCUGGAUUCGCUAGUAAUCGCGCAUCAGCCAUGGCGCGGUGAAUACGUUCCCGGGCCUUGUACACACCGCCCGUCAAGCCAUGGAAGCUGGGGGGACCUGAAGUAACGUAACCGCAAGGAGC